rfam:Camelus ferus unplaced genomic scaffold scaffold380, whole genome shotgun sequence.
GGAGGGUACAGCUCAGUGGUAGAGUGCCUGCUUAGCAUGCACAAGGUCCUGGGGUCAAUCCCCAGGACCUCCA